rnacentral:tRNA from 1 species
AUUUAUGUAGUUUACUCAAAACAAAUUAUUUUCAAUAAUUAAAAAAAGCUUAUUUCAUAAAUU